rnacentral:rRNA from 1 species
UACAGAGGUCCCAAGCGUUGUUCGGAUUCACUGGGCGUAAAGGGCGCGUAGGUGGUUUUGUGUGUCUACCGUGAAAGCAUACAGCUCAACUGUAUUUUGUCGGUAGAAACUGCAGGACUUGAGGCUGGGAGGGGCUGGUGGAAUUCCCUGUGUAGCGGUGAAAUGCGUAGAGAUGGGGGAGAACACUCGUGGCGAAGGCGGCCAGCUAGACCAGUUCUGACACUGAGGCGCGACAGCGUGGGGAGCAAACAGG